CAUCAGUCAAACACCGGCCCUCUUUCUCCCAAUCCCCGCAGCUGCCGCGCCAUGCACACCUCCCUCCUCCACUCCCCCUGCGCCCUACCCUUCCCCGCCGAGCUUGUUCCUCUAGCCACCCACUCGUCUCCUCCUCUUCCUCCUCUCUCUCUCUCUUCUAGCUUCCUCCUCCUUCCUGAUCUCUGCAUCGGCCGGACCGCGAGAGGAGCGGUGGUGGCGGAGACGCUCCGGUGGCGACAUCGAGUUGCGAACCCCAGGAACCAGGUCUGGGGGUUCGGUUCCAAGGCACGGACGGCUUCUCCGCCUAUGACGCCGAGGGGAAGUGCACACCCUAGUCCCCUCCUCCUGCGUGAACCCUAAGAGAGAGAGAGAGGAAGAUGAGAGGGAGGGAGAGAGAAUGACCGGCGUCGGCCUGCGCCGGCGAGGACGGGCGCGACCUGGAGGUUGGCCGCUGCUCGAUUUGCUCUUGGAUCGGGAGCUUCGACGAAGCUGGGAUUCGGGCGCGUUGCACCGGAGGCUGCACUCCACCUCUUCCUCGUGGUGCGGCGGACGGCAGCUCUUGCAGUCGUGCGGCUGACGGCGGCCUCAGCGGGUGGUCGACGACACUUGCAGCUGGUGCUCUACCCAUGGAUUCCGGCAUAGCCCGAAAUACUCAGAUAUUUGACUGCAUUACUGAAUGUUCUAGGGUUGGAGCAGCAGCUGAGCUUAGGGCAAGACAAGCACAUUAGUUUAAUCCUGAACUUACAGGAUGGUUUCCCCUGCCACAACCAUUGUCAUCGGCCUGCAUUCCCUCGUCAAGCGUGCAUCGGUGCUGGAUAUGCAAGCUGCAACAGCACAUCAACGGGAAGGCAAGAGCAAGACGAUGGUCAUGAUUUUUGCCAAGGAGUGGAAGACAAUGUUAACUAAAGCCACUUUUGUUGGUCAUGGAUUUACAAGAAAGCCAGUAGAGUAUGAAAAGGUUCUCAUGGGACUCACCCUAAACUGAAAUCUAUCUUCAACCUUGCUUAAACUGAAAGCAAUGCAUGGUAUUGUUCAAUUCGAAGUGUACUUGACGUGUGCAGAUCUGAGGAUGAAGGGAAGAAGACAGAAUUUAGCUAACGAGUUGAAUAAGAUCAAGGUUAUUAUUCCACAAUCAUUUGUUGCAUCCAUUAUGUGUUCACCCAAUCCAUCUCUCUCUCUCUGCUGGCUGCCGCCACACGUGGACGGUAGUGGUUCAUUUUCCUACAACUUUUGGCAUUUCUACAGUUUUAUCAUGUAUAGCUUGAUCCAGAAAAUGUAGAGAAGAAAGUUUUGCAAGAGAAAUAAAGUGCAUAGGUUACGCCUCUUAAUUUUUCUUCAACUGUUUUUGGUAAAAUUGCUUACCUAGGCAUCAGUAUAUUUUGUGACAGGAAUCUGCACUAUGUUCUUAUGCUUUUAGCAAUACCAAUCUUAUUUUGUUUCUUGGUGGAAUUGCUUACCUAGGCAUAAAAAUGCGAAAAAAAUCUGCACAAUGUUCUUAUGCUUUCAGUAAUGAGCGCCUUGUUUAGAUUCUCGGGGUUUUAGCCAUGCUGACUUCUGAAUAAUUAUUCAUUCAUGAUAUUCACUGUAGAAUUGCUUACCUAGGCAUAAAAAACGUAAAGAAGGUGAGAUUGGCUACAGUUUUGAUGUACUUUUGUAAUGUUUUCCUGUUUGUACAUACUUUAUUUGUUUGCUUGAAACUGCAUUUUAAUAUGUGCUUGUAGGCUCUACAGGAUCCAGUGAUGGAUCUGAGUGUGAGCACUCGAGUUAUAGGUUUCUUCUAGCAUGUUGACACACUAAUUAGAUUCAGGAAUUAUUUGGUACAUCUCAGCUUUGCGGCAUCAUGUGUAGAGGGUCAUGUUAAUAAAUAUAUCUGGCCUGCACUUAGAUGUUCUUUUCUUGUAAUUGAUAACUCAUACGAAUUCUGCAACAUAUUGUGCAUAGCGAUACACCUCUACUGAAAUACUACUUUCUUAUUCCCAUUUCCAUCCGACACCUGACUUUACAUCAUUUCUAAUCUCAUCUUUUCUCCUGAAUUUUAGUCUGCUUCAGUAAUGUUGUGGCCUGCCGCAAAACAACCACAUUUUUGCUGCUGUGAUUUGGUCCAUCCUAUGCAUUUCAGUUCCUGGUGAUCUCCAACGUUUGUCAGCUAAUGCCACCAUGAGGGUGCUGGGCUGCUAAUGGCAUGCUACCUGCUUUGAAAAAAAGGAAUGAAAGGAAGCAUUUGUUCAUAGAACAAAUAUAUUCAUUGUCUGUUAAGAUAAAUAUCCCUAUCCUCUGUUUGUUUCUUGAUUAUUCUCUGUGAACUUUUGUUCUAUGUGCAGACAAGUUUCCUCCAUGUCAUGUCAACAUCCCAUGGUGAUGUAUGUGAAAGAUUGAAAGUGCGGUACUACAUAAAGACGCGCCGCAAUUAUUGUUGCAUAAUCAAAACUUCUAUAACAUUAACUUCCAUUGUCUGUUAAUAAUUAAUUAUCUCGGGUAAAAUCUAUUUUUCUAUCUGAUUGAUGUGGUUAGUUUGAUUUAUAGUAGAAUAUCAACAUUCUCCUUUAUGAUGGCUGAUGGGCAGUGUGUUUCGUCCAAGUGAUAUGCUUCCUGUAUUGUUAGAGAUGUCUAUUUGGCUUAUGAUCGUACUGUUGAGCACAUCUUACCCUUGUGCUGAAGAUAAAUGGUACUAAUCAAUCUGCUAAAGCUUUGUGAUGUGAAAGUGCAUUUGGUAGGAAGGGUUCUGCAGAUAACCCCUUUAGAUUUUGUCCCUUCAAGAUUUUUUUUGGAUCAAGCCAUAAAUUUAAACAGGAAUCCUUCAGUGGCUAUUUUUUUUAUCCACACACUUUCUAAUGUCUGGUCCUCUUAACUUAGGAUAAGCUUUUUACUGUCUUUGUUUUUUGAUUAUCAUCAACAAUACUAGUUCUGUUGUCCCUUAGGCUGUCAAUGCUGAUGCUAUUUCAAUGCUGAGAAGCGAACUCAGAAAUCAGCUCGCUAACAAGAGUCGGAAUUCGAAUCUGAGGCAAGUUUCACAUUCCCCAAUUUGUCUAUUGAACCCAUGGUCUCUCUUUCUUCUGCAUUAUUUCUCAUUCAUUAUCUAAGAUAUGAUUUUGACUUCACUGCACCGUCUUGUCUGGUUUAUAAUGCCGGUUGAGCUCAUUUCUAAUUGUUCAUAACUAAAUUUUUUGUUGUGAUUUUGCAAGAUAUUGAAAUUAUUGUAUUUCAAAAUUGUUUUACUGAUUCUCGAUGCUCUGUUCAUGGCUUUUUUUCUUAUUUUAUCCUUCUUUGCUUUUUUCCUUUCCUGCAAGAAGAUGUCGAGUCAUGUAAUAUGUUCAAAGAAGAGAGAAUCUGGACUUUAUGAAUCCUUUCUUCUUUCUUCAUUGUUACUUCAAGUUAGUGAAUUCAUUUAAGUUGUAUUGAGCAGCUUCAUGUGCAUGGUUUCUUCAUCUACACAUCUUAUUCAGUCACGAGGCGAGUAAGAUCUUUUGCCUUUUAGAAAAAGGGAGAUGCCAUUUAGACCUUACUCUUCCAACUUGAUCUUUAACUUGCUACUACUGUUUCUAAGAUUUUUACCAAGCAUUUUUUAUUUGCUUCAUAGAAUGAGCUCACCUUAUUCAGUGGAUGUGCCAAGUAAAAAAAAUUAGAAACUGAGCAAUUAGUUCCACUCUUGAAUUUUGUACAGCGGUCCAAAUUAUCCAAUAAAUCAUUUGUUAGCAUGGUCAAAUUAUAGAAGUUGAAUCUGUUGUUCCAAAUUACAAUGUGUGACUUAUUCCAUUUGUUUAUCCUUUUGUCCUUUUAAUCAAGAACAAUGUUUAGAGCUUACAUGGUUGUCCAAAUUUAGUUUUGUAAAAGAGGAAUAUUGAUAUCAUGCAAUGAUCAGUGCAGAUUAGGAUAGUUAUAGAGUUUUUCCUCAGUUUUCAUUGAGAAAAGAUUGAAUCUGUAUGAUUUCUAAUACCAAGUAAAUCUUGGUCUGCAUUCUGUUAGUUUUCCUACUGAGUUUUUUUUGGCUAUUUUCGUUUAAAUUGGUAGCUGAUGUGAAAAAGUGUGUGUUGACAUGCAUGUAACCGAAUCAUGUAUUAAUGUGAGGCACUACAUAUACUUGCCUAUCUCUUUCCAGAAGCACAACCCUCUUGAUCCAACUAGGAACAUCAAAACCAAAUGGGAAAUCAUUGAGUGGACUUCAGAUGGCCAUGCUGUGAGUACACCAUUAGUAUCUAAAUCUACUUUGUAUAAUUAAGACACACUUUCUACAUAUCGCUGCUAUAUUGAUACCAUGUGAUCACUUAACAUGAGUGUGACUAGCCUAUUUUCUUGCCUAACUAUGUGAUUGCAUGUAGUAAUGCAUGGCUUCUCUAUUUAAAUGAAUAGUUGUGUUUAUCAUAAUAAUUAUAUACCACAGACUUGUUUCUUUCUGUUUAUGUAAUAAUGUAGUUCGUCUUCUACCAUAUGUUUUCUUCGUUACAUGUCUUCUAAUUGUUCAUCUUUUUUUCUCUUUCGACGACAAAAUAACUUUGCGUUUCGAAAUAUUUAGUACGCCAUCAUGGUCUUUCUUAAGGGUGUUCAGGCCUUUUGGUCUUCUAUUCAUGUUGUGAAUCCCAAUAUGGCAUCUCGCCGUUCCCCAUGAUCCACAUGGUAAGUAUGGAUUUAUUUAAUGAUAAUAUGAUAUCAACUGCCUUUUCUUCAGGAUAAUCUGACACCUAAUAAGGACCAAGAGAACAACAGAGAUGCUAAGAGGGAACCUUUUGGGUUUAAGGAUAUAAACAACAUGGCUUACGAGGAUUUGAACUGCUAUUCUUUUAGUUCCACUCUUAAAUGUUUUGGUUCUUGAAGGCCUGCACUUUCCUGGUGGAGUAGGAGCAAAAUAAUUUAGAGGCUUUAAAGCUGCUGCACUUUAGUAGUUAGGAUCAAUCCUUUGUUUUGGUUUGAAAUGCUCCUCAAUUCCUCCUAUUUGAUUGAUUCAUCUGAUGGUCAUUUGUCAGGAAAAUAAACAAAAGGCAUAUGUAUUGUUUUGAGUGAAGCCAUCCAUAUCCCAUAUGUGGAAUUCAAGAUAAAGAGAAAUGUUAUUGUUCUUCUGCUAAUUGGUUGCUUGACCAAAUGUACUAUAAAUGAUGUUAUUAUUGUACUAGAUAUAGAGAAAUGUUAUUGUUCUUCA